AAGCGGGUUCCUGGCUUUGGUGCGACAAUGAAUAUUCUCUAUGGUGAUCUUGUUUGUGGCCAGGGCGAUAUUGAUGCCAUGAACAACAUCAUUUCACAUUAUCAAUAUUACCUGGACUUGAUGGGAGUAGGUCGAGAAGAGGCAGGGCCCCAUGAUGUUCUUACUUGUGCUGAGCAGAUCCCAUUCAAUCCAUCCAAUUCCAAUCCUACUGCAUCUUCUUGAGCUUUUGCAUGCUGCUGUAGACAGCCCGUGGCAUCCAUAUAGUAGUGCUCUAA
rnacentral:lncRNA from 1 species